AUGCUAUUCACUGUAAGAAUCACUGAGCUCAGGCUUAGGAAGCUACAGGAAUGUGCACUACAAGCACAGCUAAUGGACCCCCAGGAAAGCCAGGCUGUGUGGCAGGGAACUGAGAAUGAAAAUGCUGGUGACAAAGUAGAGAUUCCUGCAUGUACCUUUGGAAAUGCAGCUGGUCUUGGGAGGAACAGGACUCCUAUCCUGUGCAUUCCUUGCUGGCAUGGGAAUCUGCCAACCCCAGAGAGCAGGGAGAGAGGGAAAAUGCUGCCUGACUCAGGUGAG
rnacentral:lncRNA from 1 species